AUACCUUCGUUCCCCUUCAAAUAACGUAUAAAUCUUUCGCCUUUUACUAAAGAUUUCCGUGGAGGGGAACACUCAUUGAGUUUAGAACUUAAUUUUUGUUAUGCCCAACAUUCGUUGGGUAA
rnacentral:snRNA from 13 species